rnacentral:pre_miRNA from 1 species
GACCUGUGCGUGUAUAUGGAAUAUAUGUACACACAGGAUAUUACAUAAUCUACGUGUGUGUGCAGUAUAUUACAUUUAUGAGCUACAGUAC